rnacentral:rRNA from 1 species
UAGCAUAGGAAUGUUUGAUUAUGGCUUAUUAUUUAUUUUUGAUAGUAGAGUACAUUGGUUUUGAUGGGAGUAUUGUUACACCAUUGUGGGUAAAUAUACUAAUGCGACACCAGUAUAAACUAAUAGACAACUUAAGAAAUUAAGGUCUUGUGCUGUCAUAAGGUGGGGGAGAAGCGAAUGCCAGCAGCCGCGGUUAGAUUUGUUCAUCUGUAAAUUCAGUUAGUUUUGUUAGAGGCAAUUUAAAUACCAAGCUACGAUAAAGAAAAGAGGUAGGGGUAAUAUCCGGAUCUAUUUGUGUCAAACUCUUUUAGUAGUUUAGCUGUUUCUUACGUAAUUUCGAUGCAAAACCAGGAUAUGUUCCCUGUUAUUCUUAACGUAAAGAAUGAGUACUACUUAACUAAACAUUGGUUUGUCAAAGAGAAAUAAAUUGGCGGCGUGUGAGUUAAAAAUCAGGGGAAUCGGGGUGUUAAAAGAUGAUCCACUUACAUUUGUCCCUUUAUCUUAAAAAGCGUAUGUAUGGUUCUUUAUCUUUCAUUGUGAAAUGUGGGAUAAAACUCUUGUAAGCUGAUUAAUUGAAGUUUUAUGUGUUUAACUGAGAGUGUAAAAGAAAUAAUUGAGAUUAACAUGCAGCUAUGUAAAGGUUAGCCUGGAUUACAUUUAGAAUUCAAUAUGAUAUUUUAAUUAAAUUUAAACUAAACCGUUUAUACUUGGUAUUGUGGUUGGUUAAAAAAAAAACAAUAGUCGGAAGGAAUGGAGUGUAAACACAAUCCUUAAGAAGGACUUGGAAGUAAGUUUGUUAAAUAAUAGUAAACUGAAUCAUUUCACAUGAGUACAGAUCGCCCGUCGCUCACGGAUUAAAAUCUGGGAUAAGUCGUAACAAGGUAGGGGUAUUGGAAAAUGCCCCUAAAAAACU